rnacentral:rRNA from 1 species
UACGGGGGGAGCAAGCGUUGUUCGGAUUUACUGGGCGUAAAGGGCGCGUGGGCGGUCAGCACAAGUCAGUUGUGAAAUCUCCGAGCUUAACUCGGAAAGGUCAACUGAUACUGUGCGACUAGAGUGCAGAAGGGGCAACUGGAAUUCUUGGUGGAGCAGUGAAAUGCGUAGAUAGCAAGAGGAACACCUGCGGCGAAGGCGGGUUGCGGGGCUGACACUGACGCUGAAGCGCGAAAGCCAGGGGAGCGAACGGG